UACAGAGGGGGCGAGCGUUGUUCGGAAUUACUGGGCGUAAAGGGCGCGUAGGCGGCUUUACAGGUCCGUUGUGAAAACUCGAGGCUCAACCUCGAGACGCCGGUGGAAACCGUAAAGCUAGAGUCCGGAAGAGGAGAGUGGAAUUCCUGGUGUAGCGGUGAAAUGCGCAGAUAUCAGGAAGAACACCCGUGGCGAAGGCGGCUCUCUGGGACGGUACUGACGCUGAGACGCGAAAGCGUGGGGAGCGAACAGG
rnacentral:rRNA from 1 species